rnacentral:tRNA from 1 species
GGAAGGAUGGCAGAGUGGUCGAUUGCACCGGUCUUGAAAACCGGCGACGGGAAACCGUCCGUGGGUUCGAAUCCCACUCCUUCCGCCA